rnacentral:tRNA from 1 species
GCUGGGAUGGUUCAGUUAGUAGAGCAUGUGACUCUUGAUCUCAGGAUCAUGAGUUCAAGUCCCAUGUUGGGCA